AAUAUUUUAUUUUGCAUAUAACUAUAGUAAAAUUUAAUUAUUAUUAAAAAUUUAAUUUAGAAAAAAAAAUUAUUUAUUUUUUUUAGUAACAAUAAAAAAUAUAUUUAAAUUUUAUAUUGAUAUAAUGAUUCUAAGAAUUAAAGUUUGUUUAUAAAAUAUUAAAUAAUAUUAGUUAUUUUAUUUUUUUAAAAUUUAUUAAAAAUUAAUAAAUUUAAAAUCUUUUAGAUUAUUAUAUAAUUAUAUUUUAUAAUUUAUUUUUAAAAUUUAUUUUUUUAAAAUAAGUAAAAUUUGAGAUAUUAUUUUGAUUUUAUGAUGUUUUUUUAAAUGUUUUUUUCUGCCCAAUGUUAGUAUUAAUGGCGCUUUUAGCGUGAGGAGCUUAUAGUAGCACAUGUUACUUGUUUUUUUAUUAAAUCCGGGGAUGAAUGAAAGAUUCAAAUUUGAUGUAAAUUAUAUUUUUAGAAUUUAAUAAAAAUUUAAUAAUUAAUUUUUUUUUUAAAACUAAGAAAAGUCUUUGGAAAUUUAUUUUUUAUAAAUAUUAUAAAAAUUUUUUUUGGAAUAAGAUUUAAUAAAAAAAUUAAACUUUGAAAUAUUAAUUAAAAUUUCUUCAGAGUUAACAGGAUUUGAAUAUUAUUAUUUAAUAUUUUUUUACUUUUACAUCGAUGUUGUUUUUAAUUUAAUUAUAUUAAAAGAAGAUUAUAUUUAAAAAAGACUGUUCUUCUAUUAUGAUUAACUUGAAAUUAGUUUAAUUCGUCGUAAGGUAGAGUUGUUUAUCUAGUUUAUAAAUUUUAAAAAUAAUUUCCUGUACGAAAGGAAAGAAAUUAAGAUUAAAUUUUUAUUAUU
rnacentral:rRNA from 1 species